rnacentral:rRNA from 1 species
AUUGAACGCUGGCGGCAUGCCUUACACAUGCAAGUCGAACGGUAACAGGUCUUCGGAUGCUGACGAGUGGCGAACGGGUGAGUAAUACAUCGGAACGUGCCCGAUCGUGGGGGAUAACUACUCGAAAGAGGAGCUAAUACCGAAUACGAUCUACGGAUGAAAGAGGGGGAUCUUCGGACCUCGUGCGGACGGAGCGGCCGAUUGCAGAUUAGGUAGUUGGUGGGAUAAAAGCUUACCAAGCCGACGAUCUGUAGUUGGUCUGAGAGGACGACCAGCCACACUGGGACUGAGACACGGCCCAGACUCCUACGGGAGGCAGCAGUGGGGAAUUUUGGACAAUGGGCGAAAGCCUGAUCCAGCAAUGCCGCGUGCAGGAUGAAGGCCUUCGGGUUGUAAACUGCUUUUGUACGGAACGAAAAGACUCCUUCUAAUACAGGGGGUCCAUGACGGUACCGUAAGAAUAAGCACCGGCUAACUACGUGCCAGCAGCCGCCGUAAUAC